CAGGAAGAAAGCUUGCUUUCUUUGCUGGCGACCGGCGCACGGGUGAGUAACACGUAUCCAACCUGCCCUUUACUCGGGGAUAGCCUUUCGAAAGAAAGAUUAAUACCCGAUAGCAUAAUGAUUCCGCAUGGUUUCAUUAUUAAAGGAUUCCGGUAAAGGAUGGGGAUGCGUUCCAUUAGGUUGUUGGUGAGGUAACGGCCCACCAAGCCUUCGAUGGAUAGGGGUUCUGAGAGGAAGGUCCCCCACAUUGGAACUGAGACACGGUCCAAACUCCUACGGGAGGCAGCAGUGAGGAAUAUUGGUCAAUGGGCGUUAGCCUGAACCAGCCAAGUAGCGUGAAGGAUGAAGGCUCUAUGGGUCGUAAACUUCUUUUAUAUAAGAAUAAAGUGCAGUAUGUAUACUGUUUUGUAUGUAUUAUAUGAAUAAGGAUCGGCUAACUCCGUGCCAGCAGCCGCGGUAAUACGGAGGAUCCGAGCGUUAUCCGGAUUUAUUGGGUUUAAAGGGAGCGUAGGUGGACUGGUAAGUCAGUUGUGAAAGUUUGCGGCUCAACCGUAAAAUUGCAGUUGAUACUGUCAGUCUUGAGUACAGUAGAGGUGGGCGGAAUUCGUGGUGUAGCGGUGAAAUGCUUAGAUAUCACGAAGAACUCCGAUUGCGAAGGCAGCUCA
rnacentral:rRNA from 1 species